rnacentral:rRNA from 1 species
AGAGUUUGAUCAUGGCUCAGAUUGAACGCUGGCGGCAUGCCUAACACAUGCAAGUCGAACGGCAGCGCGGGGAGCUUGCUCCCUGGCGGCGAGUGGCGGACGGGUGAGGAAUGCAUCGGAAUCUGCCCAGUCGUGGGGGAUAACCCGGGGAAACCCGGACUAAUACCGCAUACGACCUUCGGGUGAAAGCGGGGGACCCUUCGGGGCCUCGCGCGAUUGGAUGAGCCGAUGCCGGAUUAGCUUGUUGGCGGGGUAACGGCCCACCAAGGCGACGAUCCGUAGCUGGUCUGAGAGGAUGAUCAGCCACACUGGGACUGAGACACGGCCCAGACUCCUACGGGAGGCAGCAGUGGGGAAUAUUGGACAAUGGGGGCAACCCUGAUCCAGCAAUGCCGCGUGUGUGAAGAAGGCCUUCGGGUUGUAAAGCACUUUUAUCGGGAACGAAACAUUGUCGGCCAAUACCCGGCAAGACUGACGGUACCCGAGGAAUAAGCACCGGCUAACUCCGUGCCAGCCGCCGCGGUAAUUC